rnacentral:lncRNA from 1 species
GGUAGGUAGAGCUGGGCAAAAAACCUGAAUCCAAAAAAUUGAACUGAAUUCAAUCCGGAAACGUAAUACCUAUUCUGAACCGAAAUUGGUUAGAUCUCUAACAGAAUACCUAAAUAUCAAUAAGUUAAAAUCAUAAUAGAUAGCAUAACAAAAGGAUAUCAAUACAUACCAUAAACCUAUUGUUCUCAUAUUAUGAAUAUUUAAUGUAUUAAAUACAAUAAUCAAAACAUAAAACCCAAGCAGACCACCGGCUAACUGACCUAAGCAAUGUCACCCUAAUAAAUCGAUCCAAUGAACGAGUUCCGUGUUGAUGGAAUCGUUCAUCCCUUCCUUAUAUCCUACUUUGGCAAGAAUUGUCUGAAGCAAUUUAACAACACUUUCUACUCCGAGUUUCCUAUGGCCAAGAGGACUGGUGUCCAGAUCAAAAUUAAUACAUUCGAGUCUUGAAUGAACCCCUUAAAAGGACUUUAUCCAACCUCUCAUAAGCAUCUAAAAC